UACGUAGGUGGCGAGCGUUGUCCGGAUUUAUUGGGUUUAAAGGGUGCGUGGCGGCCUUGUAAGUCAGUUCUGAAAUAUCCCGGCUUAACCGGGAGGGUGGGAUUGAUACUGCAGGGCUUGAGUAGAGUCGAGGUAGGCGGAAUUGACGGUGUAGCGGUGAAAUGCUUAGAUAUCGUCAAGAACACCGAUAGUGUAGGCAGCUUACUAGGCUCAAACUGACGCUGAGGCAAGAAAGUGUGGGGAUCAAACAGG
rnacentral:rRNA from 1 species